rnacentral:misc_RNA from 1 species
AGAUUCCUGUAAUUUAUUAUUUUUUGUCCGAUAUUUGUAUAAAGUUUUGGGAUUGCUUUUGUCCUAUAGAUAGUAUACGAAGAUCUUCCUUGAGAAGAACAAGGCAGAGUACUAAAUCGGGUGGAUGAUUAUUAAUGGAUAUUUCAUAUAAGCCUGAGCCUCUCAAGGACUUUUAUAGGAACAAUGCUUAAUUAUAGAAGUAAAGCUCUGAUUAUAGCAGACAAGACUAUACGAUUUCUUGUUAUAUAAAAGAAUAUGUGAUUUAUUCC